UAAGAGUUUGAGAGUUUUAAAGAACACAACAAGAUGAUGCACAAUAAGUGUGUUGCAGGCAGACAGGUAAGAGUUUGAGAGUUUUAAAGAACACAACAAGAUGAUGCACAAUAAGUGUGUUGCAGGCAGACAGGUAAGAGUUUGAGAGUUUUAAAGAACACAACAAGAUGAUGCACAAUAAGUGUGUUGCAGGCAGACAGGUAAGAGUUUGAGAGUUUUAAAGAACACAACAAGAUGAUGCACAAUAAGUGUGUUGCAGGCAGACAGGUAAGAGUUUGAGAGUUUUAAAGAACACAACAAGAUGAUGCACAAUAAGUGUGUUGCAGGCAGACAGGUAAGAGUUUGAGAGUUUUAAAGAACACAACAAGAUGAUGCACAAUAAGUGUGUUGCAGGCAGACAGGUAAGAGUUUGAGAGUUUUAAAGAACACAACAAGAUGAUGCACAAUAAGUGUGUUGCAGGCAGACAGGUAAGAGUUUGAGAGUUUUAAAGAACACAACAAGAUGAUGCACAAUAAGUGUGUUGCAGGCAGACAGGUAAGAGUUUGAGAGUUUUAAAGAACACAACAAGAUGAUGCACAAUAAGUGUGUUGCAGGCAGACAGGUAAGAGUUUGAGAGUUUUAAAGAACACAACAAGAUGAUGCACAAUAAGUGUGUUGCAGGCAGACAGGUAAGAGUUUGAGAGUUUUAAAGAACACAACAAGAUGAUGCACAAUAAGUGUGUUGCAGGCAGACAGGUAAGAGUUUGAGAGUUUUAAAGAACACAACAAGAUGAUGCACAAUAAGUGUGUUGCAGGCAGACAGAUUAGUAGUGAUCAAAUUUAUCAGUUUGUUUUGACGGAGUUUGGACAAACUGAUUUCCAAUGCCUGGCUAUGAGCUCCCGGGUCACCCCAUUUGCACAUCUUAUUGAGAAGCGUAAUCAGGGGCUACAAAACGACGGGCCUCACGAGAGUGGCCAUCUUACUCUACAGGAUUUGUACAACGUUCGCCACGUAUAAUGGGCUUCUUUAAUUUUGAAGAAGAUAUUCCACAUUUUUGCGAUGUAUUACUA